UACGUAGGGUGCGAGCGUUGUCCGGAAUUAUUGGGCGUAAAGAGCUUGUAGGCGGUCUGUCGCGUCUGCUGUGAAAAUCCGGGGCUCAACCCCGGACUUGCAGUGGGUACGGGCAGACUAGAGUGUGGUAGGGGAGACUGGAAUUCCUGGUGUAGCGGUGAAAUGCGCAGAUAUCAGGAGGAACACCAAUGGGCGAAGGCAGC
rnacentral:rRNA from 1 species